ACUGAUCGUUUCUCGUCUCUGCAGGAAGACCAACGGGAAAAAGGAACAAAAGGGAUCUUUUCAGAGUCCAACGGUCACAUGGAAUGGGAAAGGAAAACCAAGCAGCAUUUAUGGGUCGCAGUGGCGGACCUCGAGCAGUGAGUGAGGAAAGACUCCUCGUUAAUGACAUUACUGUCUCUUUAAAACUAGAAGCACGCGUAACUUGGAUGUAACGCUUCUAAAUCUAUUUUAAUUCCUCUAUUUGUAUAUGUUCAUUACCUCUCUUCAAGAAGAAAACAGAAAGAAUAUAUAAAGAAGAAACGAUCGUGACGGCAAGGAAAUAGAUCUAUGUCAAACGGUGCGAACCAUAAGUCGCGGUGAAGUUCUACCGAACCUCAACCAUGAUGCAGAAGGAAAAUCCUCAAUAGCGAAAGAUAAGAACACAUCGAUGACGACCAAUGUACAAAUCACACAAUACGAAAAAAAACAAGUUACACAUACACUUUAGUGCGUUAAAACCAACAAAGCAAGAAGUAAGGGUCUAAGGACUUACCAGCUCGAGAUGCUUUGGAGGCGAGUGGGUAGGUAUGCGUUUUUGUCUACUUUUCCUUUCCAUCGAUAUCUCUUUGUAUUACUCUCGUUCGUAUGUUGUUGAAGGUCCUGAGCUAUUCCACCUUGGUUUUCAGUGUGAAAAUCAAAGUUGAGGUUUCUAACUGAGCUUUGAGUGCAUGUUUUCAGAGGAAUUUCACUAGGGGUUCGAUACCGCCCUUUUCUCAAUGGUCGUGGUUCUCUUAUAUAGAGAGAUGGUACGAGGUUUGGGGUCCUGUGAGCUGGAAAAUCAUUCCGUUAGAAAAUAGAUUCUUUCAGAUUUGGUGGUCCCAUAAAUGAAUGUGUGUGACGAUGUUUGUAGGCUCUUCUUGAUGCGUGGUUGCUAAUGUAGCUGAUGAGUAAAUCUAUCCUUUGCUCAAAUGGAGGCGGGAAGUAGGCCAACGAAAACCUCCUUUCAAAUGCUACAAACUGUUGGAUAUAUUUUCAUCACCUUGUACUCUAAGUUAAGAUUCAAACGCUUUUGUGAUACCGACUUUUAACAAUCAUUUUGGUAUUUUGAUGAACUUAUUAUUGAUCUGACUUGUGCUUGUAAUAUGAUGCUACGCCUGGUUUUGCAGCUGUCAUGGCUGUCACUUUUUGGCGUUCUGGGACUGUUAGAUCGUUGUAGUAUAUGACAGGUUAAGCCAUGUAUGUCAUAGUCAUAACAGGGCAUUUGUUCGGCAGAAUUGCAAGGCAAGGCUUGGCGCAUUGUGGGCUCAUGGUAUUGUAUCGGUGAACUGAUAUGACAGGAGCAUCCCACCUGUUUGAGUUGCUAUAUGGCUGAGUGAAACGUACUUGCAAGCGCUGAGGCUAUUCUCCCAAAUGUUGCAGAUUGUUGAACUCUUAAUGUGAGUAUUGCUCGUGGAUUAUGAUACAGACAUGAACAACAUUUAGGCUUUGCACUUGUGGACCAUGACCUUCUUUAUUCCAAGGUGGACUUCGGGUUUGUGAUGUUUUGCAUUAGUCUUAGCUUUAUCAUGUGUGCUGCUUAACCAUUGUUGCGGUCUCGCGAUAACAUCGUCUUGAGCCACUUCUAUCACAAUAAGCCAGGUGUAUUUGUUUUUAUUUGCCCUGUUUACUUCUUGACAUUGAUUUAACCAUGCUACGAAUUAUGACUUGUGAUUCAUUCGGGCAUGUUUGUGGCGUACAGGUCUCGUUGUAUGAUUUCGGUGUGAACAAGAUAGCUCUGCAAUGUUCAUCCUAUAUUAUGAUCGACCGAUAUGCAUUGCCCUGUUGGUUGAAGCUCACUAAAGAUCAAUAUUUGUUCGUGAUUUUGCAGACCUCACCUUCGAUAUCCUUUGGCCACGUUUGGACUAUUUGUUACCCUGCCAUGUCUUGUUUGUACAGAGUAAUGACUUAGGUUAUAUUGUAAAUCCAUUAGACCACGUUAAACAUGUAUUUACAUCACAAUUUGAAAUGUACACGGGUUGUUCGGAAUUGGAGCAAGUGAUUGUAUGCUGCCCUGUUAGUUUGUAUGCGGAAAAAUGUGAUAUGGUAUGUGACCAUAUUUUGAAAAUGUAUUGUACCUAUGGUUUCCAUCAUGAAUCACAAUGAGCCAAAGAUGGAUUAUGGAUAAAUAAUGAAAGGAAUUAUGUCUCUUGGUUUGUGUAAGU